rnacentral:rRNA from 1 species
UACGUAGGGAGCAAGCGUUAAUCGGAAUCACUGGGCUUAAAGCGUUCGUAGGCGGGCUUGCAGGCGCGUUGUGAAAGCCCCCGGCUCAACCGGGGAACUGCUUCGCGAACCGCAAGUCUUGAGUCAAGUAGGGGCGGUCGGAACGAUAGGUGGAGCGGUGAAAUGCGUAGAUAUCUAUCGGAACGCCAAAGGUGAAGACAGGCCGCUGGGCUUGUACUGACGCUGAGGAACGAAAGCGUGGGGAGCAAACGGG